CUUUCGAGCCUGGUAUGCUCUAGAGAUGUCUGCAUGCAGAUAUUCUCCACUGUAGCAGAAGAACUCUCAUCAAUGUGUUCGCACAUCUCCUCAAUCCAUGCAGCCAUUUUUUCUGCCAGCUUCUCUUCGUGUCUCCCAUAAAGUCGACAUCAACAGGACUGGGCAAUUCUGAAAACACCUCGGAGCCUCAACAGUAAGCUGAUGACAGGCAGUUCUUCCACUUUCUGCCCUUUCAGUUUCUGGAAACUGACCCGUGAACUCAGGUAUUUGGGCAGCAGCAGUAUCUCGAAAUUACUCAGCUACCCGAACAAAAGACCUAAGCCAAUCUCCACAUAGGGCAGCAGACCCACCAUCAAACUGAUCCACCCACAGAAUUCUGCCCAGUUUCCUUGGAUCCACCAGCCGCAAUAAGCCUCGUGGUUCACACCAACAUUCCACCUGGAAUCCAACAGACAUCAGUAAUCAUGGACCCGUUCUUGGAGCAGAGAAUCGAGUAAAUUUCUCAAGUACAAGUUCACACUCAGUAUGUUUCUGCCAGUAUCAGCGUGGUUCAUUAGCUCUCAUGAAUUUCUUUCGACCCUGGUAUACUCUAGAGAUGUCUCCAUGACUAUAUUCUUCACUGUAGCAGAACAACUCUCAUCAAUGUGUUCGCACAUCUCCUCAAUCCAUGCAGCCAGCUUUUCUUCCAACUUCUCUUCUUGUCUCCCAUAAAGUCGACGUCAACAAGAAUGGGCAAGUCUGAACGUACCUCGGAGCCUCAGCAUUAAUCUGAUGACAGGUAGUUCUUCCACUGUAUGCCCUGUCAGAUUCUGGAAACUGACCCGUGAACUCAGGUCUUUGGGCAGCAACAGCAUCUCCAACUUACACAGCUUCCCGAACCAAAGACUUAAGCCAAUCUCCACAUAGGGCGGCAGCCCCUCCAUCACACAGAUCCACCAACAGAAUUCUGCCCAGUUACAUUGGAUCCACCAGCCGCAACAAGCCUCAUGGUACACACCAACAUUCUACCUGGAAUCCAACCGGUUUUCUGAGGCCUCAUCCUGUCUUUGGAAUAACAGACCACUCUUCGUCAAGUGUCCUGUGCCAAGGGCUGGGUGAGUGGAUGUUUACAAUGCUGUGUGUAUGGGAGCGAGUGAGAGCAGUUUGCACUGA